rnacentral:rRNA from 1 species
GUGACUGCGUACCUUUUGUAUAAUGGGUCAGCGACUUAUAUUCUGUAGCAAGGUUAACCGAAUAGGGGAGCCGAAGGGAAACCGAGUCUUAACUGGGCGUUAAGUUGCAGGGUAUAGACCCGAAACCCGGUGAUCUAGCCAUGGGCAGGUUGAAGGUUGGGUAACACUAACUGGAGGACCGAACCGACUAAUGUUGAAAAAUUAGCGGAUGACUUGUGGCUGGGGGUGAAAGGCCAAUCAAACCGGGAGAUAGCUGGUUCUCCCCGAAAGCUAUUUAGGUAGCGCCUCGUGAAUUCAUCUCCGGGGGUAGAGCACUGUUUCGGCAAGGGGGUCAUCCCGACUUACCAACCCGAUGCAAACUGCGAAUACCGGAGAAUGUUAUCACGGGAGACACACGGCGGGUGCUAACGUCCGUCGUGAAGAGGGAAACAACCCAGACCGCCAGCUAAGGUCCCAAAGUCAUGGUUAAGUGGGAAACGAUGUGGGAAGGCCCAGACAGCCAGGAUGUUGGCUUAGAAGCAGCCAUCAUUUAAAGAAAGCGUAAUAGCUCACUGGUCGAGUCGGCCUGCGCGGAAGAUGUAACGGGGCUAAACCAUGCACCGAAGCUGCGGCAGCGACGCUUAUGCGUUGUUGGGUAGGGGAGCGUUCUGUAAGCCUGUGAAGGUGUGCUGUGAGGCAUGCUGGAGGUAUCAGAAGUGCGAAUGCUGACAUAAGUAACGAUAAAGCGGGUGAAAAGCCCGCUCGCCGGAAGACCAAGGGUUCCUGUCCAACGUUAAUCGGGGCAGGGUGAGUCGACCCCUAAGGCGAGGCCGAAAGGCGUAGUCGAUGGGAAACAGGUUAAUAUUCCUGUACUUGGUGUUACUGCGAAGGGGGGACGGAGAAGGCUAUGUUGGCCGGGCGACGGUUGUCCCGGUUUAAGCGUGUAGGCUGGUUUUCCAGGCAAAUCCGGAAAAUCAAGGCUGAGGCGUGAUGACGAGGCACUACGGUGCUGAAGCAACAAAUGCCCUGCUUCCAGGAAAAGCCUCUAAGCAUCAGGUAACAUCAAAUCGUACCCCAAACCGACACAGGUGGUCAGGUAGAGAAUACCAAGGCGCUUGAGAGAACUCGGGUGAAGGAACUAGGCAAAAUGGUGCCGUAACUUCGGGAGAAGGCACGCUGAUAUGUAGGUGAAGUCCCUUGCGGAUGGAGCUGAAAUCAGUCGAAGAUACCAGCUGGCUGCAACUGUUUAUUAAAAACACAGCACUGUGCAAACACGAAAGUGGACGUAUACGGUGUGACGCCUGCCCGGUGCCGGAAGGUUAAUUGAUGGGGUCAGCGCAAGCGAAGCUCUUGAUCGAAGCCCCGGUAAACGGCGGCCGUAACUAUAACGGUCCUAAGGUAGCGAAAUUCCUUGUCGGGUAAGUUCCGACCUGCACGAAUGGCGUAAUGAUGGCCAGGCUGUCUCCACCCGAGACUCAGUGAAAUUGAACUCGCUGUGAAGAUGCAGUGUACCCGCGGCAAGACGGAAAGACCCCGUGAACCUUUACUAUAGCUUGACACUGAACAUUGAGCCUUGAUGUGUAGGAUAGGUGGGAGGCUUUGAAGUGUGGACGCCAGUCUGCAUGGAGCCGACCUUGAAAUACCACCCUUUAAUGUUUGAUGUUCUAACGU